CCUACGGGUGGCAGCAGUGAGGAAUAUUUGUCAAUGGGCGCAAGCCUGAACCAGCCACGUAGCGUGAAGGAUUACUGCCCUACGGGUUGUAAACUUCUUUUAUAAGGGAAUAAAGUGCGACACGUGUGCCUUUUUGUAUGUACCCUAUGAAUAAGGAUCGGCUAACCCCGUGCCUGCAGCAGCGGUAAUACGGAGGCUCCGUGCGUUAUCCGGAUUUAUUGGGUGUAUAGGGCGCGUAGAUGGGUUGUUAAGCAGGGUGGGAAAGGGGGGGGCUCACCCGUAGCAUUGAAAAUGAGACUGGCAGGCUUGAGUAAGGGAGAGGUAGGCGGAAUUCGUGGUGUAGCAGUGAAAUGCUUAGAUAUCGCGAAGAACAC
rnacentral:rRNA from 1 species